rnacentral:rRNA from 1 species
GCUCUGCAGUCGAGCGGAGAGAGGUAGCUUGCUACCGAUCUUAGCGGCGGACGGGUGAGUAAUGCUUAGGAAUCUGCCUAUUAGUGGGGGACAACAUUUCGAAAGGAAUGCUAAUACCGCAUACGUCCUACGGGAGAAAGCAGGGGAUCUUCGGACCUUGCGCUAAUAGAUGAGCCUAAGUCGGAUUAGCUAGUUGGUGGGGUAAAGGCCUACCAAGGCGACGAUCUGUAGCGGGUCUGAGAGGAUGAUCCGCCACACUGGGACUGAGACACGGCCCAGACUCCUACGGGAGGCAGCAGUGGGGAAUAUUGGACAAUGGGCGCAAGCCUGAUCCAGCCAUGCCGCGUGUGUGAAGAAGGCCUUAUGGUUGUAAAGCACUUUAAGCGAGGAGGAGGCUACUGAAGUUAAUACCUUCAGAUAGUGGACGUUACUCGCAGAAUAAGCACCGGCUAACUCUGUGCCAGCAGCCGCGGUAAUACAGAGGGUGCAAGCGUUAAUCGGAUUUACUGGGCGUAAAGCGCGCGUAGGCGGCUAAUUAAGUCAAAUGUGAAAUCCCCGAGCUUAACUUGGGAAUUGCAUUCGAUACUGGUUAGCUAGAGUGUGGGAGAGGAUGGUAGAAUUCCAGGUGUAGCGGUGAAAUGCGUAGAGAUCUGGAGGAAUACCGAUGGCGAAGGCAGCCAUCUGGCCUAACACUGACGCUGAGGUGCGAAAGCAUGGACAGGAUUAGAUACCCUGGUAGUCCAUGCCGUAAACGAUGUCUACUAGCCGUUGGGGCCUUUGAGGCUUUAGUGGCGCAGCUACGCGAUAAGUAACCGCCUGGGGAGUACGGUCGCAAGACUAAAACUCAAAUGAAUUGACGGGGGCCCGCACAAGCGGUGGAGCAUGUGGUUUAAUUCGAUGCAACCGAAAACCUUACCUGGCCUGACAUAGUAAGAACUUUCCAGAGAUGGAUUGGUGCCUUCGGGAACUUACAUACAGGUGCUGCAUGGCUGUCGUCAGCUCGUGUCUGAA